rnacentral:pre_miRNA from 1 species
AGUGGGAUAGCUGGGCCAAAUAGUUUUUGACCCAAGUUUUCCAAGGAAUCUCCAUACUUCUUUCCAUAUUGGCUGCACCAAUUUGUAGUCCCAAUAGCAAU